AGGACGAACGCUGGCGGUGUGCUUCACACAUGCAAGUCGAACGAGGUAGCAAUACCUAGUGGCGGACGGGUGAGUAACGCGUGGGAAUCUGCCUUUGAAUGGGGGAUAACGGGCCGAAAGGUCCGCUAAUACCGCAUAGGCCGCAAGGUUAAAGGAGUAAUCCGUUCAAAGAUGAGCCCGCGUCCGAUUAGCUAGUUGGUAGGGUAAAAGCCUACCAAGGCGACGAUCGGUAGCUGGUCUGAGAGGAUGAUCAGCCACAAUGGGACUGAGACACGGCCCAUACUCCUACGGGAGGCAGCAGUGGGAAUUUUACGCAAUGGGCGAAAGCCUGACGUAGCGACACCGCGUGAGCGAAGAAGCCCUUUGGGGUGUAAAGCUCUGUCGGCUGGAACGAAAAAAUGACGGUACCAGCAAAGGAAGCAUCGGCUAACUACGUGCCAGCAGCCGC
rnacentral:rRNA from 1 species